rnacentral:lncRNA from 1 species
CUUACAAAUUUCCAUUAUUUCAGAGAAAAGAACUUCCAUGAAAAGGCGCACUCCAAUCCUGCCAUUUCUCAGAAAAAAACUAUCUUUGAAAUAAGAGACUAAAGAGCAGUCUCGAAUCAGAGUCCUCCCUUAUGUCAUAAAACUAGCACCUCAGCCCUGACAAAGACGGAAAUCAUUUUGUGCACAGAAUUUAUCCUCUGAGCCACUUUCUCCAGGAAGAGCUCCUGGAGUUAUGUAUCCUCCCUUCACAGUAAUUCCUCCUUUCCUCACAUCCCUCAUCAUUGCCUACUCUGUCACUAUCAGCCCACUCUGGGUAUGCUGAGUAGAAGAUGACCGAUUGCUU